GGCCUGGUGGCGGCGUCCGCAUGCUAUUAUAGUUCUGGUUGCCAGGUUUCAGCGGAAGGUCCUGGUUCGAAUCCAGGCUGGGUCA